GCUGACAUUAAGGCUGUCGUGCAGAGCCUGCCCAGGGACGGCCGUGGCAGGCCUGGCCCUUGGCUGUCUCAUGAGCACUUGCUCCAGCUUCACAGAGAAUCUGGAAGUAGAGUUGGGGUGGAUAUGUUUGGAUAACCUUGGAUCUUAUGCUGGGGACACUGGGGGCUCAUCGCUUCCCCUCCCUACUCUUGUAGAUUACCGACAUGGGAGGACAACGGCGCAUACGAAGCACUUCUCCAGAGGCACAGCCGCUGCAGUGCCAGCGAAUGCCUUUACCAUGGAGGCAGAGAGCAGGCAGAGGGGAGUGGGCCCUGGCAGCUGCUCCUGUGCAGCUCCUGCGCUGCUGAGGGCACCCACCGACAGUGCUCCCACUUGAGUAACACCACAGCCACGUGGGAGUGCGACAGCUGUGCUGGCCUGGGUACCGCCUCCAGCGCCAACACCGAGCUCGCUGGUCCCAGCACUGCCGGCCAGACGGCUCCGGG